rnacentral:rRNA from 1 species
UACGUAGGGUGCGAGCGUUGUCCGGAAUUAUUGGGCGUAAAGAGCUCGUAGGCGGUGUGUCACGUCGGCCGUGAAAACCUGCAGCUUAACUGUGGGCGUGCGGGCGAUACGGGCAGACUGGAGUACUGCAGGGGAGACUGGAAUUCCUGGUGUAGCGGUGGAAUGCGCAGAUAUCAGGAGGAACACCGGUGGCGAAGGCGGGUCUCUGGGCCAUUACUGACACUGAGAAGCGAAAGCAUGGGGGAGCGAACAGG